UUAUUCGAUAUCACAACCACCAGGCAAUGUGUCCGUCGCAAACCACCAGUUCCUUCGUGGAACAGCAGUGACUUACGUCCACUAGCGACAUCGAACUGUGGCGAAACGCAACAUGGAACUCCUUUGGCCACUCCGCGCCAUUAAGGGUCAGCUUUGCGCUCCCCUUAAGCCUGCAGCAGCGACUUCUGCCGGGACAGCUAAACUGCAUUUCGCGAGCCGUCGUCUUCUCUACAAAAAUUUUAUUUUUAUUUAUUUCUCCAAUGCAUUCCCCUCUACACGUCCAGGAGUCAUUUGUUAGAAUGACACCUGGAGUUGCGUCAGUCCAAAUGCAUUGGAACAAUAAAUACAUUGGGCGCCAUUUGUUACAUUCGGCUUGCGGCUCGUGGGGCAACGCCGGCUAGCUCUCGACCCCAGGGAUGGGUAGUUCCCCUUGCCCGCCAAAUGUAAGCAAAGUUUGAGAUUUCGACUUCUCGGGACAUCAAUUCAGACAAAAAAAACUACAAUAGACUGCAAGACAAACAAAAAGAACCAAACAAAUAGACGGCUGUCAAGGGGGUGAAGUCUAGGUGUUUCCACUUCGCGCGCCCACCCUACCUGUGGUCAAAUAUAACGUUCAUUUUGGCCACCCUCUGCUGGAACGGCUGCGGCUGGUCUAAUCCAUGGCUUACGCCACGCGUCCUCCCUCUAAAUUAAUUUAGGCCUUCAUCCUUUCAAUAUUCCUUAGUUUAAUAUAUAAUAUAAUACGACAAAUA